GCCCGCGUGGCGAAAUGGAUAUCGCGUCAGACUUCUAUUCUUUAAUGGAACCAUCUGAAGACUGCGGGUUCGACCCCCGCCGUGGGUU